GCCAAUUCAAUAAAUAAAAAAAAAUAUUCAAAGGAAUUUCAUCAAGUGGUAGGGAGGGGGAGGAAAAUCACAUAGAAGUCAAUUAAUUAAGCCAUUAAGUGAAUAAUUGAGAUAAUCCUCUAGAAAACAUUAGCGACUUGGGGUUAAACCCUAAUCUAUCUAGCACAUAGUGAGAAGAUGGGUGAUGGUCAAAGACCAGAAGUACAAUGGCUGAGCCUGAUCAUUCUUUGAAGGAUUGGGCUUGAUCAAUGGGACAAUGGCCUUGACUUUCCUCUAAUGGAAGCUGGAAACAUUUAGUAAAUGACAAAGGUUCAUGCCCCCGCCCAUUGCGAUCUGCUGUAUUUACAUGGCUAUGGCUAAUGUUUGGGGGAGGAAAAUGACAAGAAAUUGCUAAUUCUAUUUUCUUCCCUUUUUUCCUUCCUGUUCCAAACAGAGCACAAGAGUCGGUAGAAAUAAAGGUCUAUAGAGAAAAUACUUCCCAGAAGAACUGACUACACCAACCCCAUGAAGAUGACAAAAAAGAGAUGCUUUCCGUAGACUCAGUAUCAUAGAUUAAGCAAAGCUCUGAAGACAUGCUUCUGUUCAAUCAAGACAGGAUAUCAAACAAUAAGGACAUGACCAAGUAUCACGAGCAACUUACUCAAGGUAGUCCAGCUGCUUGAGAAAUUUGACACCAUUCAGGUAUUCACCAUUUCCUUGUUUGAUGCUCAAACCCUUAAGGAUGAUCCAAAUAUUAACCAAAGGACUCCAGUUACUCUUAUUAGAAGUUUAGAAUAUGUUCAAACGUGUUAUAAACCAAAUUAAAUAUGACUCUGUAAGACUGAAUCAUAAUAUCGUAAAUACUGCAAAAACACAGCAGGAAGGAUUGCCUUCAUAUUCACGCCCAUCAAUCAGAAUAAAAAGUAAUAUUGGGCCUCCCAGGAAACAGUUCAUGUUUAAGAGCUUCUUUGACUGUUUAGUUGCAUAAAUGUGUGUAUUCCUUUGUUCCACCCUACUGUUAUAAAUUUUAAUUUCCAAACAAAAUUCACGGGCAUUCAUCUCAUCUAUUCAUUUUAUGAAAAUAAAGAACUGGAAAACCGGAAUCAUUCAUAACCUCAAGAAAACCACAAUCUCCCUGAGAUUUGAUGAACUUCAUAUUUUUCCUCAGUUUUGAGAGGAUCAAAUUCUCACUGAACAGUUCCCAAAGAACAAGAUUUCCCUCAAGAAUAUGUAGAUUUUUUGCAGCACAGUCAGUGAAAAGUGAAAACCAACUUCCUACAUAAAAUCAAAGGUUGCAACAAGGAAUAAACUGCUACCAACUCCCAAGUGACUGAAUAUACAAAUUGGAAAAUUAUAGAUUGUUGGUUUACUGCUCAUCAGAGGGAUAUUUAGUCUAAUCCACCACCUAAAUAUCAGUUUGAGGAGCUCAAAGACUUCCUAAUAUUCCGAAGGAUACUCCACAUAAACAUGGAUAUCAGGAAGAGGAUAAUACCAGUAACAAUUGCAUACUUGAGACCAAGGUUCACCAAUAAAUUGACCAGCAGCCCAGCCAAUACAACACCAACAAAAUUUGCUGAUACAGCUGGCCAGAAUGGCAUAUCAAGAAUAGAAGCAAUGAUGGCUCCGGUCCAUGCUCCAGUACCAGGGAAAGGGACGGCAACAAAAAGCAUCAAGCCAAGCCACUGAAACUCUUCCACAGGACCAGCCUUCUUUUUGGCAUUCUCAAACAGCAUGUCAAGGAAUCGAGAUGCCGACUGGUUCUUUCCAGCAAGGAAAGAAGCAAAUCUCUUCAAAUAAAGUAUAAUGAAAGGCACAGGAACCAUGUUCCCAAUAAUCGAUAAGACAGUUAGCGUUAGAGGCUUAAGUUGCAUCCAAUAACCAACAGGAAUAGCUCCACGGAGCUCAAGCACUGGAAGCGUAGCAAGAGCAAACACCACAGCUUCAUCAGGCCAACCCGAAACUCGAAGAGCGCUGCCAAUCUUUAGCCCAAAGCUGGAGGCUUUGAUGGAAUUGACAGCUGCAUUAGCAUCCCCAGAAGCUGCAAACCAAGCAAGAGAAAGAGAAGCCCAAAACACAACCCAAAACAGAAAUUUGGCUGGCCUUUCCUCAAAGGACGGCAAUAUUUCUUCAUCAUCUGCAGGAUCAAGAAACCUAAGUGAAGAAGAUCUAGCUAAAGCGAAAGGAGCAGACGAGAAAAUACGAUAGCCAGGAAGAUCCACAGUUUGAAAUGCCAAGAAUGGCUUGGACUUGAAAAGAGCUUGUUUGUCAUGGGAAAUAGAAGGAUAAGGACUAGUAUUCAAACGGUUAGGCAAGGCUCUGAGAUGGGUAUUUCUAAAAGAGAAGGAUAGGUAAAAUGGUGACACAGAGGCAGCCAUUGAAAGAGGCAAGCUUAAAAUUCAAAGAAUAUUCAUUCCAGCUCCAUCAAAAUUGGGGGUUUGGCAACACAAAAGGAGAUUCUGAGAUUACAAGUGACCCUCAAUAAUCUAGCUCGACAUUUCGCAGUUUUGAGUUGAGAAUCUGAAUGGCAAUUAGGUAUAAAUAAUAAGCCUUUUGAAGAGAUAAUAAAAGACUUGUCUUUCUCUUAGCCCAAUCAGGUGGAGAGAAAUGGAAAUGAAAUUAGAACUUCGUUUCCAACUACUCUAUGGGCAAAUUGUUACUGCUACCUAGUGGCCGCCAAGGCAGGCGCUUUGGGUUAUUAAGGUA
rnacentral:misc_RNA from 1 species